rnacentral:lncRNA from 1 species
CUGAGUGGAUCCGUUAGACACAUGGUGGCAAUAUCAUGGUUUUCUGGAUUUCCAUCCUCAACAGGCACACCCGCUCAGGCUCUCCAUCCGGGACUCCUUCCACCCCCUCCAGUGGUCCCUGAAGAUCCCCAUCGGAUGGAAAGGAUUCCACAGCCAUCCACAGCACUGCUCUGGCAGGAAUGCACUAGUCCAUUUAUACAGCUGCCCAGCGUUGAUAACCGGCCGGUUGCUUGUCCACACUGACUCACAUUGGAUCGAAGGCCCUCAUUACCCUCACUGGUUUAAUGAUAUUCUCUGAUUAAACUUGGCCAGCUGGCCAGCCUAGAGGGAGCCUCUGUGGACUUUUCCUAUAUCUCUCUGGGUAGGGACUGACCUGCUGCUCCAGCCUCUUUUGAAAGAAUCCUGUUCAUAUUUGCUUUCCUCCUUUAUAGAGACGACAAACAAGUGGAUCGAAAGUACAACUCAUUUUCCAAAUUCAUCUCAUAAAUAUGACACAACAUUAAAAACACACCAAAAAGACUGAGGAAUUUAAAACGAGGGAGAUUAUGGUGUAGAAGACUGGACUGGGAGUCAGGGCACCCGCGUUCAAGACCCAACUCUUGGAUUCAUAGACCAUGUGAUUUUACCAUUUACCUCUCUGAAUUUCAGAACUGUCAUCUCCAGAAAUAAAAUCCUAUUUAUGACAAAAAAAAUCCUGUUUAUGUCAUUAGUGCAUCAAACAAAAGAAAUCAGGUGAAGUUCCACUGAAUUGGAGGAUCACUUUAGGUUAUGUUAGUAACAUUAGCUCCGUGAGGAGCACCUCAAAGAAAUCAUUGUACCCAUCAGGAUAGUCCUGGGGAUGACUUGGUAACAAGUUCUUCCCCAACCUCAGAGACUUAAUAUAACCCAAACUUCUUUCUUACACUGUAUAUUUGUAGGAUUGGUAUGGCCCUGCUUCACCUUGUCUUUACUCCAUGACCUGGGUGGAGAAUAAAGCCCCUGUGUGGGACAUUGCUGGUCUUACGGAAGAAGGAACAGAGAUGGCAAGCUACAUCCUGGGUGUUAGAGCUU